AUGCCCCUGGACUUCACCAAGCACUUCGUCGCGGUGCUGACAGAGUUCAAGCUCAGGAACAACACCGGCUGCUCCUGGAAGGUGACGGUCAAGAUGAUGAACGGCAGGGUGACCCUGGAUCAAGGUUGGACCACCUAGGCAGCCAUUCAUCAGAUCAAGAUUGGCUACAUGGUGACGUUCAAGCUCCUCACUCCCGACACCCUCAAGGUCAUCAUCUUCGACGACGAUGACAUUGAGGUCGUCAACAAGUGCGGGAAGCACGACGAAGCCUUCACCGCCAAGGAGUAG
rnacentral:rRNA from 1 species